CCUACGGGAGGCAGCAGUGAGGAAUAUUUGUCAAUGGACGAGAGUCUGAACCAGCCAAGUAGCGUGAAGGAUGACUGCCCUAUGGGUUGUAAACUUCUUUUAUAUGGGAAUAAAAUGUUCCACGUGUGGGAUUUUGUAUGUACCAUAUGAAUAAGGAUCGGCUAACUCCGUGCCAGCAGCCGCGGUAAUACGGAGGAUCCGAGCGUUAUCCGGAUUUAUUGGGUUUAAAGGGAGCGUAGGUGGAUUGUUAAGUCAGUUGUGAAAGUUUGCGGCUCAACCGUAAAAUUGCAAUUGAAACUGGCAGUCUUGAGUACAGUAGAGGUGGGCGGAAUUCGUGGUGUAGCGGUGAAAUGCUUAGAUAUCACGAAGAACUCCGAUUGCGAAGGCAGUUCACUGGACUGCAACUGACACUGAGGCUCGAAAGUGUGGGUAUCAAACAGGAUUAGAUACCCUUGUAGUC
rnacentral:rRNA from 1 species